rnacentral:sRNA from 1 species
AUAAAAUUUUUAAAAAGAAAUUAAUGCAUAAAAAUUGCUUUCACUAAUACUAUUUAAGAAAAAAACUUCUGGGGAAUUUACCUUAAUAUGAAAGAGUUAUGAAAAGCCCAGGUAGGAGGAAAACCUCAUCUAUAGGAUAACUGUGAGUAGAUUUCUAUGGAGAGACAAGUCUAAUUUUUAAAUCAUUUUCUACAUUUUCUAUGCAUGUUUGACUACAGGAGUGGAUUCUAACUAUAUUGGAGGAAGACUUUCCCAGAUUCCCAUUGUCUAGUGGGCAAUGCCCCUCCCUAGGUGUAGAAAACUGAACUCACAGCAAGCAGCCAUUUCAGGGAUUGGGCUCUGUCCGUAAGCUUAUGAGUAAUACAGGCUUUAUUCUUCAGUCUUGUAAGCUAUAGCAGAGGAUGAGGCUGGCUAGGAGGCGGAGGCAGUGCAGAUGUGUGUAUAGAUAUCUGUGUGUUGUCUCACACCCACUUCCUCUUUUGAGAUGACAGGGGCUGCAGCUGAAGGCAGCCAGCAAUUAGACAAAAGAAAGAGGAGGUGGAAUCAUACACAUGCAUCAUACACACACACACACACACACACACACACACACACACACACACACGUACAUGCAAUGAGUAGAUGAAGCAAGACAAGCUCCAACAACUUAACACACACACAUAUACAUACAUACAUACAUACAUACAUACAUGCAUGCAUGCAUGCAUGCAUGCAUGCAUAUACAUAUACGCACACAUUCACACACUGGAUGAAUGGAGCAAAGCCUCAACCAACUUCACAUAUAUUUAGAUAUAAAUACAUAUACAAAUAUACACAUAUACAUACAUAUUUGGUGGAUGGAUUAAACCCUAACAAGUUGACCCUAACAACUUCAUUUUUUUCUCUUAGCCUUUUUGUACCAUUUAAGUCAAUGUUCUCUAUGUAAGAAAAAGAUUAUAUCAUAGCUACAAGUUACAUAGUCUCUAAAAAACAACCCACAAAAACAUAUUCUUCAACAUAGAAUAAAAAUCAUUAUGCAAAAGGAAAUUACAACAAGAUUAUUGAUUAUGUAUUUUUCUUCUGAAACUCACACCUAACUAAAUAUUUCCAAUCUAACUUUCUUCCUACAAGUUUAUCAUAAUCCCAAAGCAGUACUUUUCUGUCAUGAUUUAUAAGAUUUAAGCAAGCAUGUCUAUAAGGGCGAGUUUUUCCCUAUGCUUAGCUGACAAUCUGUAUUUACAAAGAAAUAGAUCCUCAUCCACCUUACAUCUUUUUUUGAAGUCUCAUUCAGGUAAAAUGGCUAAUCAUCUCAUACUCAGAAGUAUUUACUUUUUCCAUAACCUUGUCUUUUCCUAGUGUACAGCAAAACAUGUGGCCACAUCCCUAGAUCACAAGAUCCAGGAACUCAGACCUAAUCUAGAAUAAAUGUUUUCUUUGACCAUUCACUUGUCCCAAGCAAUUUCUCUUCCAAGUACAAUUAUGGGCUUAUAAUCCAUGAAGGCUCACUGUCCUCCUUUUUAAAGUGGUGUCAGCCCUCACCAUUAUACAAGGGAGGGAGCAUGUUCUGUUCUUAAUUCUAACUUUAUUUUAUGUUUCUGGCGAAACAAUUUAAAUCAUCUCCUUAAACUUUCUAUCAAUUACUCUAACCUCCUAAAACUAUUUAAAUCACAUCAUGAAUUCCAUACAAUCAUUAAUUCAUCUAAACAACAUUGUUCUAUAAAAAUUCAUCUUUAUGUUGAUCUGUAGGAAAAUGGCUCAAUAGAGUGGGCUAUCACCCAGGAAGUCAUGCCAGGCUAUGGGGAGUGAGAGUCUUCCCCACAUGGAAUCAUACCAAGGAAUAUAGCAACGACAAGCUGAGAAGGCACAUCAGUAGCAAGAAGCAAUCCUGGGAUGAAGCCCUGUGUCUAUAUGCCUACCUGUCUACCUAUGUGCCAUAUACCCAUAGCAACUGUGCAAAAUGGUGGGCUACCUCCAGGGAGCUCCCUUGUCCACUGCAGUUCCUCCUGCACGAAGUCCGCCAUGUUACAUUUCAUAGUUUCUACUAUUUACUAAUAACGCUAGCUUUUUACUUAUUUAUUUAUUUUUAUUUACUAAGUAACACCAUUUUUCUCCCCCUGAAACAAAGGCAGAAGUGCUGUAAGGCAUGAAAAAAGAAAGACAAAGAAAUCACAUUGUGUACCGUCUACUAUUUACUAAAUGAUGUCCUUUUUUCUUUUCCCUGAAGCAGAGACUGAAGUGCUCCCUUAGGUCAUAGAUGUCUCAGAGCUCCAAUAUUCUAAGAAUAAGUUUUGACCUAAUGAUCUUCUUACUGCCACACUGACGAUUAGAAAACAGGAAGGAAGUUACCAUGUAACAGCCUGUUGUAGGUUUUGAUGUGUAAGUUUGAAGAGGGUCAGCCUGGCUUGAAGUUAAAUUUGCCCUGUCCACAGAGAAAUGCUGUCUGCUCUGGGAUUUCCCCAGACUUCUGAAUUGGUAAGACUAUGCCUGGGCUAUGGAGGUAGUAGUUCUAUUGGGCCACAUCAUGGAAACUUUCCUUUUUCUGUUUUCUUAUGCAUGAUCUCACUCUCAGCCCCAAUUCACAGAUACUGCUUGGGGCAUAAGUAACAUACAAAUAGAGAAGAGAGGCCUGUCUGGUCUGUUGGUGGAGGAGAUCCAGAGCACUGAAGACUCAUCUAGAACCCGAGAGUGGUAGGAAGAACGCUGUGUGAUAAAAGGAAGAAAGAACAUAUCUGAGAUACAAACUUAUGAAUCUGUGUGUGGCAGCUCCAGAGGACGGAAGUACAAGAUCUGAAAAGAUCUUGUCGCAAGUCUACCAACCAACGCACUAUGCGGGAUGCGGCUGUGCACAUUAGCUCCUGCCUUCCAAGCUCUGUCUGGACAGCUGAUUGAUUCUUCCCAUGACUCUUCUCAAGUUCUGUGCCUAGAGGCAUUAUACACUUUGGAAAAGAGUGCAAAGGUGUCCAAUUAACCAUCAGUUUGUGGAGUCAUAACUGCACUGACAGGCUAAGUAAUUCACAGUCAAUAUGAAAAUCACAAAUUAGAAAGUGACAUGCGGAAGGUGUGGUCUGCUGAUUACUAAAGGCAGUAAGUUCAGUGCCUUCUUGUUUUUAAUUAUAGUUUUUUCCUUUUCUUUUCCUGGGGGGAAAAUCCCAUGUGUUUCCUAGAAAACCAAACAAAUUCAGAAAAAAGAAAGGCAAGUUAGAAGCACUAAAGUUAUGACCACAUUUCUUUGUGGAAAUUUGGCCUUCUUAGAUUUUGCCAAUCCUAAACUUUAAAAAUCUAUCUCCACAAGGAUUAAAUGAAGUAUAGAUUUAAAGAUUUUUGUUUUUCUUCCCUUUCAUUAAUUGGAGGGGGGCAGAGGGCAAUGGCAAUGCCUUCCUGAAUCUCCCUUCACCUUAUUUUUUGAGAUAGGGUUUCUCACUGAACCUAAAGCUGAUUGAAUCAACUAAGCUGUCUAACCAAAGAGCAAACUACAGAAAUCGAUCCUGCCAGCUGAAAUUAGAGACCUACCCCUGUACUUGGCUUAUAUGUGGGUGCUGGAUAUCUGAACUCAGGUCCUCAUACUUGUGUGCCAAGCACUUAACUGACUGAGGCAUCUCCCCAGUUCCUCAAAUAUUUUUGUUUCAAUGGUAGAUUCUGAGAUGCAAAAUUAUAAAGAGUAAAGAAAACAAUUCUUUUAAACAUGGUCUGUACUGAACUGUGGCUAAGAUUGAUCUGCCUGGGCCUUCUAAGUUCUAGAGCUACAGGUAUGCGCUAAUGUUUCCAACAGAGCAUUUCAGCUACCACAAGAAGUAGAGAUACUUUAAGUCAAAACAUUUUCUCAGAGUCCCCUGACACCUGUGAUGUUUGAAGCUUUUAGACUUACUAACUUGAAAAACUUGACCUGGCACUUAGAUAUUUUUCAGGCAUCCCCUUUUUUGGUGGUGGUGGUGUUCCAGGAAGCAUUUGUGAACCGAAAAAGACCACCACGGAGCCAAUUCCGAUGCAAACACAUUAGGGCCUCUUUAUUCAAGCUCAAGCUUGAGCCUCGUGCAAGAGACCUGGAGGAUGCAGUUUAGUUUCACACAAGCAUCUACAGAGACAACAGGGGAGCAUCCAUCCUGGCACACAUCUGAUUGGGGGGCCGUUGUGGCCUUUAACAUAAUUGGUUGGUGCUGGGAGCCAAACAUAAAUUUAACUUCUGUGGUUUCCUGAUUGGUGGUUGUUAGGAAGUAAAGUGCCAGAGACAGGCUUAUAACCUGGGGGUGCAGAUUUGUUGGGGAAUAACGUGAAAACUGGUGCUAGACAGAGGUCUGGGGAGAGGUGGGGACGUAAGCUGGAGACUGGUGCUAGGUACAGGCCUGUUAGUUAACUUGAGUUCAACCUUAGGUCAGGGUCUCUAAGAUGGAGUCUGAACCCAAAAGAUCGAGUGUCUCAGUGGUGGAUGGGUUGAAGCAGCAAAUGGAUAGCACCAUUUCUUUCCUGAUUAGGCGGGGAGCAGGCUCUUUGUAUGACAGAAGAUUAGACAGUCGCCUUUAGAGGAGUUGAUAAGAAGUGAGGGUAAAAGAUUUUUUUCCCCAUGUUUCAACUUUCAGGAAGGUGUCACUGUGGUAGGAAGGCCUGAAAGUGGGUUCAAACAAUGGAGGCAUCAGUGCUGAACCCCACAUCCUGGGAGAAAUGAAGGGCCUGGCUAUGACAAAGUUGAAACUGGCAAACCCAGGUCCUGGAAGAGGAAGCAGCAGCUACCCUGCAGGAUACACUGGAUCCUGAGCCCUCCAGCCUGGACGACGUUUUCCAGGAAGGUAAGAAAAUGUUGAAUAUCACACAGAUGUCUACUGUGCCUUGCACAAGUCUGCAGGAUGGAUAUAGCCUCUGUUUAGAGCAGAGCCUCACGAAGCCUCAUUGUGACUCUUCAAUGAUCGUAAGGAAGAAGGGUAGUGUAAUAUGAUACAUGAAUCAUGUGAGGAGGCAUCAGGCACAUAUGGUCGGGAAACUGAAAGGGACACCCGUAUAUCAUCCUGAGAAACAUCCGUAUGAGUCAAGGAACAGAACAGGGUUUGUCUGUGAAUUAAGUUUGUGUAACAAGACUACAUAUAGCCUAUGCCCAGACACAGGCUGCAGCUUUGACACAAGUGAGCUUUGAAAAAUCACUUUGAAGAUUUUUCUUACUCAAUGAAGCAACUGUUCUUUUUCCAAAAGCCCACAUUAUCUGAUGUUCAAAGAGAAAUACCAGAGCUGUAGUCAAGAUGUCAGCUAAGCAAUGAACUUUCUCAGCACAGAGUGACUGGCAGGCAGAUCCCAGCUAGCUCUACUU